GCGACAGUGACAGCCACUGUCCUGCUGCCCAUAGAGCUUUGCUGUUGUGGACAGAGAGCUGGUGAGAGUAGGGGCAGGAUGCCAUCCAGCAGUGCUCAAUGCCCUGAGACCACCAAACAGCUGCACAGCAUUUAGCCCAGGCUUGACAUCAGUUCCUGCUCACAGCUGCCAGGGGCUUGGCAAAACUCUGCUGUCACCCAUCUUCUCCCUUCCACCCGCCUGUCACUGGAGGGGUCAUAAACUGGCAUCCUUCCUUCUCCAUGAAAUGAGCAGAUGCCAGUUUUUUACUGGGUGAAGGAGGCUUCCACACCUGUUUGGGUCCAUCUCCUUCUGGUCCUUCCCAUAGGACAGAAUCCCCCAGCCCCCUGUUGCCUGUGGCAGUAGUAGGAAUCAGAAUCUCCUCUGCCACAUCCCACUCCUGCUCUCGCCUUUCUCAUUUUUCAGCACAGCUUUGCUUGAAACAGUGGCACAGCCUGCAAGCCAGGAAUGGUGGUGGAGCAAGGCCUCCUUCCCAAUUCAUCACUAAUGCAGGAACGUCAAGCCCUUUCUGGCUGCAGUGAGCACCAGAUAAAAGCUAAAAGAGGCAUCAAUAAUUAAGAACCACUCAGAGCUGGACAGACUCCAGCCAGGAUGAGGCCCCUCUUUGUGCCAGAUACUGGUAUACAUGGCCUGGGAAAUUCAUGUUGUCUGAGGGUUCCAUGAACUUGUCCCUGCUGAAUUCAAGGCUCCUCAUUCAAGCUGUGCUGCUCCAGGGCCCAUGUCAAUCAGUAAUGGAGGGCGAGCAAGACAUGUGUGACAUCCAUCACUCCAGAGCUGCCUGUUCCAGGUUUACCUGUGUCACUCUCCGAGACGGAAGAGCAGAGAAACUGCCUAGGGAAAACUGGCAAUUUUUGGUGAGGAGUUUUGAAAAAUGUGCAAAGCGUCUUCUCAGUCUCUCCUUCCCUUGAAACACAAUCUGAAGUGUUUCCAGCUUUUGAAAAACACUUUCCUUAAAUAAAACCCCCACAACUCUCCCA
rnacentral:lncRNA from 1 species